GAUGAACGCUGGCGGCGUGCCUAAUACAUGCAAGUCGAGCGAAGCGGGGACGGGUGAGUACCACGUGGAUAACCUCCUAUAAGACUGGGAUAACUUCGGGAAACCCGUGCUAAACCGGCUACUUAUAUAUUGCUCCUCGCUGCAUUAGCUAGUUGGUAAGGUAACGGCUUACCAAGGCAACGAUGCAUAGCCGACCUGAGAGGGUGAUCGGCAACACUGGAACUGAGACACGGUCCAGACUCCUACGGGAGGCAGCAGUAGGGAAUAUUCCGCAAUGGGCGAAAGCCGGACGGAGCAACGCCGCGUGAGUGAUGAAGGUCUUCGGAUCGUAAAACUCUGUUAUUAGGGAAGCGGUACCUAAUUAGAAAGCAACGGCUAACUACGUGCCAGCAGCCGCGGUAAUUC
rnacentral:rRNA from 1 species